UUUCAUAUGGACCCAACAAAAUAUUUCUGAAAAAGUAAAGAUUUCAUUCAAUAUCCAUCGCAUAACAGAAGUGAUUUAUCUACACGUCCACUUAAGAUGUGCCAAAUCUAUUAACCGAAUCAGAAUAUUAUCAUAAAAAGAUUUCUGUGAACUCUUGUUAUUGUGGAUUUUAAAUAAUAUAAUGUUAAUGGUGAUAGUGUAGUGUGGUUUCCUUGAUUCAAUUGGAUGAAGAAGUUGAAAUUUAUUCUGUAAAAUAACCAUUGGUAAGUAUUUUUUUUAGUAUUCGAAAAUUAAAUACAGUAUUUUGAGUAUAUAUUUAUAUUAUUUUUAU